AUUGAACGCUGGCGGCAUGCCUUACACAUGCAAGUCGAACGGCAGCACGGGUGCUUGCUCCUGGUGGCGAGUGGCGAACGGGUGAGUAAUACAUCGGAACAUGUCCUGUAGUGGGGGAUAGCCCGGCGAAAGCCGGAUUAAUACCGCAUACGAUCUACGGAUGAAAGCGGGGGCCCUUCGGGCCUCGCGCUAUAGGGUUGGCCGAUGGCUGAUUAGCUAGUUGGUGGGGUAAAGGCCUACCAAGGCGACGCUCAGUAGCUGGUCUGAGAGGGCGACCAGCCACACUGGGACUGAGACACGGCCCAGACUCCUACGGGAGGCAGCAGUGGGGAAUGUUGGACAAUGGGCGAAAGCCUGAUCCAGCAAUGCCGCGUGUGUGAAGAAGGCCUUCGGGUUGUAAAGCACUUUUGUCCGGAAAGAAAUCCUUGGCUCUAAUACAGUCGGGGGAUGACGGUACCGGAAGAAUAAGCACCGGCUAACUACGUG
rnacentral:rRNA from 1 species